CGAGACGAGUUUAAUUUAAAACUCGCUGGUCGCGCGACUACGACGCGUAGGCGUGUCUCUCUACUUGUUUACUGGAACUCGUAUUGUGUCUGUGCGUGUGUGUGUGACGAAUGUGUUUUGUGCUUUGUAAUAAUAAUAUAAUAUAGGUCGGACUGGUCAGAGCCCUGCAGUAUUUCCGGUUCUUUAACUUGGCUCCCAUUUCCCAAUCCUGCGUCGCCCUUAGGAGCCGCGAUGCACAGUUUGAAUACCUCUGGCCUAUAGGGCUAUAUAGCUGCAGUACAGCACGUAAAAGAAACAAGGUGUAAGACGUAAGUAUACACGAAUCCCAGAAUACAAAUCCCUAGACUUUAAUAUCACUCACAAUCACAUGAAAAU